rnacentral:rRNA from 1 species
AUUGAACGCUGGCGGCAUGCCUUACACGUGCAAGUCGAACGGCAGCACGGGAGCAAUCCUGGUGGCGAGUGGCGAACGGGUGAGUAAUAUAUCGGAGCGUGCCCAGUCGUGGGGGAUAACGCAGCGAAAGCUGUGCUAAUACCGCAUACGAUCUAAGGAUGAAAGCGGGGGAUCGCAAGACCUCGCGCGAUUGGAGCGGCCGAUAUCAGAUUAGCUAGUUGGUGGGGUAAAGGCCCACCAAGGCGACGAUCUGUAGCUGGUCUGAGAGGACGACCAGCCACACUGGAACUGAGACACGGUCCAGAAUCCUACGGGAGGCAGCAGUGGGGAAUUUUGGACAAUGGGCGCAAGCCUGAUCCAGCAAUGCCGCGUGCAGGAUGAAGGCCUUCGGGUUGUAAACUGCUUUUGUACGGAACGAAACGGCCCUUUCUAAUACAGGGGGCUAAUGACGGUACCGUAAGAAUAAGCACCGGCUAACUACGUGCCAGCAGCCGCCGUAACAC